ACAGAGGUAGCGAACGUUGUCCGGAUUUACUGGGCGUAAAGGGCUUGUAGGUGGCCAAAUAAGUCAGUUGUGAAAUCGUUCUGCUCAACAGAACAAUUGCUUCUGAUACUGCUUGGCUUGAGUGCAGGAAGGGAAAAUGGAAUUUCCGGUGUAGCGGUGAAAUGCGUAGAUAUCGGAAAGAACACCUGUGGCGAAGGCGGUUUUCUGGCCUGCAACUGACACUGAGGAGCGAAAGCUAGGGGAGCAAACAG
rnacentral:rRNA from 1 species